UUACCGUGACCGAAUUAGAGUGUUCAAAGCAGGCAGAUCCAAUUUUCUGCCACCGAAUACAUUAGCAUGGGAUAAUGGAAUAGGACCCUGUCCUCCUAUUCCGCAGUUGGUUUGCCGCGAGGACCAGGGUAAUGAUUAAUACCGAUAGUUGGGGGCAUUAAUAUUUAAUUGUCAGAGGUGAAAUUCUUGGAUAUAUGAAAGAUUAACUUCUGCGAAGCCAUCUAAGGAUGCCUUCAUUAAUCAAGAACGAAAGUUAGGGGAUCGAAGACGAUCAGAUACCGUCGUAGUCUUAACCAUAAACGAUGCCGACCAGCGAUUAGGAGACGUUGAAUACAAAACACCACCAUGCGCAUUGCGGUCGUCUUUGGUGUCGCUCACAAGGCACCGGGGCGGCUUAGCUCGCAUGGCACCGGUGAAUGACUCCCUAGCA
rnacentral:rRNA from 1 species